rnacentral:rRNA from 1 species
CCUACGGGAGGCAGCAGUGGGGAAUAUUGGUCAAUGGCCGUAAGGCUGAACCAGCCAAGUCGCGUGAGGGAAGACUGCCCUAUGGGUUGUAAACUUCUUUUAUGCGGGGAUAAAGGUGUCCACGUGUGGAUGUUUGAAGGUACCGCAUGAAUAAGGAACGGCUAAUUCCGUGCCAGCAGCCGCGGUAAUACGGAGGGUCCGGGCGUUAUCCGGAUUUAUUGGGUUUAAAGGGAGCGUAGGCGGGUAUUUAAGAGUGCCGGGAAAUUUUGGGGCUCAACCAUGAGCGUGCGUCGAGUACUGGAGACCUUGAGUGCGCGGAAGGCAGGCGGAAUUCGUGGUGUAGCGGUGGAAUGCGUAGAUAUCACGAAGAACCCCGAUUGCGAAGGCAGCUUGCUGCAGCGUUACUGACGCUGAAGCUCGAAAGUGUGGGUAUCGAACAGGAUUAGAUACCCGGGUAGUC